GGCCGUGUGGCGAAAUGGCAUCGCGUCUGACUACGAUAUGGACAUUGUCUGGCAUCAGGAGAUUGCAGGUUCGACCCCUGUCUCGGUCA